AUAGUACUCCCUCCGUCCCAAAAUUCUUGUCUUAAAUUUGUCUAAAUACGGAUGUAUCAAGUCACGUUUUAGUAUUAGAUACAUCCGUAUCUAGACUAAUCUAAGACAAGAAUUUUGGGACGGAGGGAGUAUCUU
rnacentral:pre_miRNA from 1 species